rnacentral:rRNA from 1 species
ACGUAGGGGGCAAGCGUUGUCCGGAAUUACUGGGUGUAAAGGGCGUGUAGGCGACCCCUUAAGUUGAAUGUGAAAUCUCCCGGCUCAACUGGGAGGAGUCAUUCAAUACUGAGGGGAUAUGAGGACAGAAGAGGGAAGUGGAAUUCCCGGUGUAGCGGUAAAAUGCGUAGAUAUAGGAAGGAACACCAGUGGCGAAGGCGACCACCUGGACUAAUACUGACACUGAGGUGCGAAAGCGUGGGGAGCAAACAGGAUUAGAUACCCCCGUAGUCC